GCCCUCUGUGGCCGGGCUGUUUAGCAGCUGGUCUCACUGCUUAGGUUCCUAAAGCCUAGCUGUUACAGCGUCCUUGCUACAGAAAGAGAUCGUUGUCUGACCAGAGACAAAACUUACUUCUGUCUGGUAGCAGAGUACCUACAUUUGGCUUUCCAGAUCUCACCUCAGUUCCAGAUUCCUCUACAUUAAAAUCUUCGCCUGGGUUACAUCUUCUCUCAGGAUUGAAUAUCAACACUAUUGAAGACACCUCAUGUGACAUCACAAACAGCUUUCUUGGACUCUCCAGGGAGGUGGAGCAAGAUGGCUGAAUAGAAGCCUCCAGCAAUUGUCCCCCACUCACAGGAACACCAAAUUGAACAACUAUCCACACACAAAAAAAAGCACCUUCAUACAAAGAAAAAUCAGGCCUGGAACAGAUCAGCCUCCCUGCAGGAAUCAACUGAGAAAGAAUUAAUGACACUUUCGAAAGCUUUAAAUUCCAAUGAGAAAUUGAAGCCCUGGGAAUAUCUGCCUCAACAUUUUAUAGGGUGUAUGCCUGCAGUCAGUGAGAAGCACGAGGAUAUUCCGUUCCUUAUAUGUUCUGAGACAGCUGAUAACAGAAUGAAGGGGGAUUUUCUUAAAGCAUCCAUGACCCUAACAAGGAAACUGGAAGUUGCAUUCUAUUGAUCCAAGGCUAAGAAGGAAUUAAGUUGCCAUCAGAUCAAAUUCCGGCAAAGCGUCUGGAAGAGACCUGGUUGAAGAUAAUAUUGAUGAGUCUUAAAAAAAAAUGCCAGCAUUUCUACUCAUGUUUUAACAAAAAUUGGAGAGUCUAGAUUCACCCAU